UUAUAAGGAAAGCGUGGGUCCUCCAUUUCAGCCUUUCUCUCUGCCAGGAUGUGGCUGUGGCAUUUCUAGUCUUGUAAACACUGGUCUCUUUGGGAUCU
rfam:Procavia capensis cont1.1828, whole genome shotgun sequence.